UAUGGUCAGUUGCGUGUUGGCUGAAUUUAUUUUAUAUUCAUAAGUAAUGCAAGAAUAUAACAUGACAAAUUCAGAUCCAUAUUAGAGUUCUGAAUUAGAAAAAGUCUGCUACUGAUUCUUUGUAACAGGCUGGUUUGGUGCAUGACAAAUCAGGUUCACAGGACUCAAAAUUUGUCCCUUGAAGGAGGGUGUUUUUUUUGGUGUGUUUAAUUUUUGUUUGUUUUGCUUUAGGGUGGUUUUUGGUCAGCAACCACUUCCAUCAGUCUAACUGAAAGUAGAGCACUGGGAUUUGAUGCAAUUGCUUUGAAACAAAAGUUUUUGUGAGGAAUAAUGUUUAUAGAAUUACUGAGGACAACUGACUCAUUAAGAACUUCUCUCAGCUUCUUUCUCAAAAGUAUUAUUACCACUUCACAGUUAUCUUGUUAGCCUCGAAUUUCUUGUUCAUCAGGUAUAAACAUGAAACCUGGCCACAGCUGCAUAUAUGUUUGUAAAACAAUAAGUUAAUUUAGGGAAAAAUUCUCUGCUUUGAAAUGUUCGAAUGUUGCAGUAACUCCAGAUUGAAAUACAAUUAUGCAAUCAGUGAAGCACCUAUCUAUGUAGAAACACAAAUCUGGUUUUAAACACCAUGAAGUCUCAAGUAGUAGACAUUCUGUGCUUUCUAGGUAAACCAAGGAGAGGACAAGGGACAUAUCACUUAGAAGCAGGUCUGAUCUUUAAAAAGCAGAUGAUUUCUCUGUAAGCCACUAUUCACGGUAAAAAAGUCCCUGUCUUUCAGAAACAGGCAAUAUUGUGCAAAAGGCAGUCAGCUGUGAUUAAGAAUGGUGGUUGAGAAAUCCAUUUACUUUAGGAAUUAUCUCAACACAAGUUAGCACAGCUUUUGUCAGUAUGAAAUUCAGAAGCAACAUGGGCUUAAGGAAGCUGCAUAUCUUGGUGGGUUUUCUUUGUUUCUUUGUUUACUUGCUUUUUAAUUUGCACCAUUGUGAUUUUCAGCUUUGUGGUGUGUUUCACGACAUAAUUGCUGCUCUGAGUGAGUGUUGGUGCUAGAUAUACCUUGUGAUUAGACAUUUUUCUUGACUUAGCUUUUUAGAAAUUGUGAAACUGAAACCUGAUUGGGAAUCAGUAGUAAAGGCCUUAGUAAAGGUACUCACCUGCCUAUUUGAUACUCAGCUGUCACUGUCAAGUUGGAAAGGGAUAGGAAAAUUAGUCCCAAUUAGGAGAAAUUAACCUAGGGAAAUAGUGAAGAAAAUUAAGGUUCACGUAAUUAAUUGUUUACUAAUUAGCUACUUAAAAAGCCUUUAGCAGUUAAGUGAUAUAAUUAAUAGGUUACUGUGUUUUCCUUGCCUGAGCUUCACCCAACUUCAGGCACUAUUUAAGAAGCUGCUGAUUAUCACUGUAAACUUCAUGGAGUCAAGUAAAUGUGGGCUCAUUUAUUCAUUUAUUUAUUUAAAAUUUUCCUUUGCUGAUAGAACCUUGUACCUGCACUCAUUUGUGUCUGCAGGUAUUGCAAAUUGCUUCAGCUGUAAUUACUGAAGGCAGCAUUUAUUCCAUCCACUCAAGUGCUAGGAAAAAAAGUGGGCAAAAUCCAGAACAUAUUCAUGGUUCAACUUCUUAAGUUUUGUAUACGGUAGUUCAGGAAUCAUGAUGAGAUCAUGACAGCUCAGACUGCUAAUGCUCUAUUGCAGUCCUUAUUCACUGCCAAAUGUUACAAACUGCUAACACCCCUCAUGGACAUGAGUAUAUACACAAUGAAACUGGGCAGUUAAGAAUGGAGGCUGAAUUUGAGUGAUAAGUGCUGUUGGCUGCCAGAGCCAAAGAAAGUAAAAAGGAGCUGAAGUAUAACUUGAAACUGUUAUUAAGUAGGAUGAAAAUAGAAACUGUGGAAAUAUUUCAGGACCUCCUGUGGAAGGCAUGGAUGAUGAUGAAGCAUUUGUCCAUGUGACAAUAAUUUAGGAAGUUCUUUAAAUCUCAGCUGUCAAAAUUAUUAGCUUCAUCUUUGUCUUACAUUCUCAGAAUUCAAUACCCUGUGUUAUACAGGUGUCCAUUAGCAAAAUAUUUUUAUUGAUAAAGUAACUUUUGAUUUCCACGUGAUCCCAUCCUGAGAUCUCUCAGUUCCUGCUGUUGGAGAUAUAGUUUUCAUAAUUUUUUCAAUGGAACAUAUAAAGGAUUUGGAAGUUGCUUCUGGAAAUGGGACU